GAUCAUUACAGAAUGAAAAGUGCUUAACUGCAUUUUUUCUUACACAUGUGUUUUUCUUUUUUUGAAAACUUUGCUUUGGUAGGCCUUCUAUAUGGGGCCUGCCAGAGAUUAAACUCAACCAAAUUUUAUUUAAUGUCAACCGAUUAUUUAAUAGUCAAAACUUUCAACAACGGAUCUCUUGGUUCUCGCAUCGAUGAAGAACGCAGCGAAAUGCGAUAAGUAAUAUGAAUUGCAGAUAUUCGUGAAUCAUCGAAUCUUUGAACGCACAUUGCGCCCUUUGGUAUUCCAAAGGGCAUGCCUGUUUGAGCGUCAUUUCUCCCUCAAACCCUCGGGUUUGGUGUUGAGCGAUACGCUGGGUUUGCUUGAAAGAAAGGCGGAGUAUAAACUAAUGGAUAGGUUUUUUCCACUCAUUGGUACAAACUCCAAAACUUCUUCCAAAUUCGACCUCAAAUCAGGUAGGACUACCCGCUGAACUUAAGCAUAUCAAUAAGCGGAGGA
rnacentral:misc_RNA from 1 species